GCCAAGUUGAAAUUAUUUUACAAAAAAUGAUGAUAACAAAUGUUUAUUUAAUAAUUGAGUCUUGAUUUGUAAUCAAUAGGUCCGCGGUUCGACUCCGUGCGGGGGCACCA
rnacentral:tRNA from 1 species